CCUAGGGGAGGCAGCAGUGGGGAAUAUUGGGCAAUGGGCGAAAGCCUGACCCAGCGACGCCGCGUGAGGGAUGAAGGUCUUCGGAUUGUAAACCUCUUUCAGUAGGGAAGAAGCGAAAGUGACGGUACCUAAAGAAGAAGCACCGGCUAACUAUGUGCCAGCAGCCGCGGUAAU
rnacentral:rRNA from 1 species